AGCGAACGCUGGCGGCAGGCCUAACACAUGCAAGUCGAACGAACAUAUCGGGGUUAGUGGCGGCCGGGUGAGUAACACGUGGGAACGUGCAUUUGGGUUCGGCAUAACUAAGGGAAACUUGUGCUAAUACCGAAUGUGCCCUUCGGGGGGAAGAUUAAUCGCAUUUAGAGCGGCACGCGUCUGAUUAGCUAGUUGGUUGAGGUAAUGGCUCAUCAAGGCGACGAUAGGUAGCUGGUAUGAGAGGAUGAUCAGCAACAUUGGGACUGUGACAAGUCCCAAACCCCUACGGAUGGCAGCAGUGGUGAAUCUGGCGCAACGGGCGAAAGCCGAACGCAUCCAGGCCGUGUGAAUGAUGAAUGAGGUAGGAUCGUAAAAUUCUUUCACCGUGGACGAUAAGAACGGUACCCGUAGAAGAAGCCCCGGCUAACUUGGG
rnacentral:rRNA from 1 species